CCAACUGUUUUUCAGAAUGUAUUGCAAUUGUGCUUGAACGAAAGGAAUGCAGAAUGUUUCGUAUAGCUCAAUGUCAAUCCCACCCCCACCCAAGGAAAACUCUGGAAAACGCUUAUUUGACCCGACACGAAUCGUAAAAGUGCCAUGAAGUACAGCUCAAAUGCACAGCAGCCAGAAACAGAGCCACUUCUCUGGAGGCCUCGCAAGCUCCUAGUCCCUUUCCCUCACCCUUACUGCGAGCACACUCUCCAGGGCGCGUAGACCUACAGCCCGGCCCACAUCCGCCUCGCCUAGCCACGCCACGCCAUGCCACACUGCGGCGCCCGCCCCGCCCAUCGUCAGUCACUUGGCAGAGGCAGCACAGGCGGGAGCUGCUCUCCUCCGGGGAAUGGCAGCUCUGGCGAUGGCGGUGGCGCAAGUGGCGGCGGCUGAGUAGGUGGCGGCGGGGGGAGGAAGCGGCGGCUGCAGAAGCGGCAGCAGAAGCGGCGGCAGCCCAGAGUCGGCGGCGGCGGUAGCAGCGGCGGUGCAGACAGCAUCCGCUGCACAGUCGCCAAGGGCUUCGGCGUGGACGUCUCAUGCGGCGGCGGCGGCGGUAGCAGGGGCGUCGGCGGCGCAAGCGGCAUGGGCGCAGUUGGCAUCGGCAACUCAAGCGGCGGCGGCGCAGACCGCGUUGGCUUCACAAAAGGCGACCGUGACUCAAGCAGCCGCGGCGCAGACAGCGGCGUAGGCGGCGGCGUCGGCGGCGGCUGCGGCAGCAGCAGCAGCGGCGCAGACAGCGGCGUCGGCGACUGAAGUGGCGGCGGCGGUGCAGAUGGUGGCGGCGGCGAACUGCGGGCGGCAGCGUAGCGGCGACCGCGGUGGGAGCUCUAGGGCCAGCAGCUGAGGAAGGGCAGAGUCCUCAGAAGGCCAGAAAGACGCAUAGGAAGGCUUUUGUGGUUUGAGCGUCUGCACCUUGAGAAGCUGCGCUGAAGCCUUGAUAUGCAGCAUCUGCGAUGUGAGGGAAGGCACCUCCACCAGAUCGUGUCCCCGUGCUUUAAUAAACCACCAUUUUGCACCAGAGAGGACUCAAGAAUUCUUCCUUGGUCGUCAGCUCCAGACCUCAUCCCAGCGAACCUCACCUAUGUUGUAGAAGUUCAUCAUUUGGAGCCCAACGUGGGGCUGUGAGUCUUUACAUUUGGACUCUGAGCUUUGGUGCAAAAUUGAUAUUUGUGGAGAGAGGGAGAGAGAAUCCU